rnacentral:rRNA from 1 species
AAAUUGAAGAGUUUGAUCAUGGCUCAGAUUGAACGCUGGCGGCAGGCCUAACACAUGCAAGUCGAACGGUAACAGAAAUCAG